UACGAAGGGUGCAAACGUUAUUCGGAUUUAUUGGGCGUAAAGGGUACGCAGGCGGUGCGUUAAGUCAACUGUUAAAUCUCCCGGCCUAACUGGGAAUCAGCGGUAGAUACUGGCGCACUAGAGGAUGGAAGAGAGAAGUGGAAUUCUUGGAGUAGAGGUAAAAUUCGUAGAUCUCAAGAGGAACACCGAUGGCGAAGGCAGCUUCUUGGUCCAUUUCUGACGCUCAUGUACGAAAGCGUGGGGAGCAAACAGG
rnacentral:rRNA from 1 species